GGACCUGGGCAGAGGGUCCGUCAGCAAGAGCGGGGCAUUCCGUACCCAGCAGGAAGAAUCAGGAAGCCAAAACACCCUUAAGCUACUGGCUGUCUUGGGAGGGGUUACUCAUCUAUGAAAUUACAGCAGUGAAAGGGAAGCCAAUAUGAGCUUGAAUGAAUGGACAAGGAUGUUGUACAGCCUCAUCCCUUCUUCAUCAAAGAUCCAAACCCCUUCUUCAUCAAAGAUCCAAAACCUCAAGGAGACUCCUACAGAGAAGACAUGUGACAAGAACAUGCACUGGCAGGGAAGACAAAGUUAUUGUUUGUAGAAAUAAAGCAGAUUAUGAAAUAGA